GCCGCGGGACGACCCGCCGGCCUGCCUGAGUUUGCGGGGACGACCCUG
rnacentral:ncRNA from 1 species